rnacentral:rRNA from 1 species
UACAGAGGCCACAAGCGUUAGGCGGAAUCACUGGGCUUAAAGCGUGUGUAGGCGGGAUGGUAAGUACUUUGUGAAAUCCCACGGCUUAACCGUGGAAUUGCUUGGUAUACUGCCGUUCUUGAGUCAUCUAGGGGCAGCCGGAACAGAUGGUGGAGCGGUGAAAUGCGUAGAUAUCGGGAGGAACACCCGUAGCGAAGGCGGCACUCUGGGCCGGUACUGACGCUGAGGAGCGAAAGCGUGGGGAGCAAACAGG